UACGAAGGGGGCUAGCGUUGCUCGGAAUUACUGGGCGUAAAGCGCACGUAGGCGGCUCUUUAAGUCGGAAGUGAAAUCCUGGAGCUCAACUCCAGAACUGCCUUCGAUACUGAAGAGCUCGAGUCCGGGAGAGGUGAGUGGAACUGCGAGUGUAGAGGUGAAAUUCGUAGAUAUUCGCAAGAACACCAGUGGCGAAGGCGGCUCACUGGCCCGGUACUGACGCUGAGGUGCGAAAGCGUGGGGAGCAAACAGG
rnacentral:rRNA from 1 species